UACGGAGGGUGCAAGCGUUAUCCGGAUUCACUGGGUUUAAAGGGUUUUGUAGGUGGUCUGCUAAGUCAGACGUGAAAUCCCUCAGCUUAACUGGGGAACUGCGUCUGAUACUGGCGGACUUGAGGACAGGAGAGGAACGCGGAAUUCCAGGUGUAGCGGUGAAAUGCGUAGAUAUCUGGAGGAACACCGGUGGCGAAGGCGGUCUUCUGGACGGUGACUGACGCUGAGGCGCGAAAGCGUGGGGAGCAAACGGG
rnacentral:rRNA from 1 species